CUGUACCCAAGGUCAAAAUGCCACGACAAACGAUGUUUUGAUCACAGUUUGAAGAAGAAGAAAAUAAAUAAUACAGUUUGUUUGGUAACUGUUCAAAUUCCAUUGGCUUUACAAUUAUAUGGAGGAUUAAAAAUUGAUGGGUCUUCGACAGCAGAUGUCACUGAAACCUUAACAUAUAAGAGGAUUUCAGAAGGCUGAGGAACUGGAAUAGGCAAGCCAUGGUGUUACUUCAGCUGUAAACAUA
rnacentral:lncRNA from 1 species